GCUCUGGCGGUCCAGGUUAGGACACAGCACUUUCACUGCUGAGGGCCCAGGUUCAAUUCCUGGUCAGGGAA
rnacentral:tRNA from 1 species